UAUAACUGACCAUGACACAUGGCAGUUAAUCUCUUUUCUUCAAUCAAAUUCAACUGGUCAUAGCGACUCUGAAUCCAUUCAGCAUCAGUCCACUUGGGGUUUGAGGGCGCCAUUUUUUUUCUACAUUUCUUCUUCUUUUUUUUUAUUGAUUUUUUUAUUUUUAUUUUUUUUUAAUUUUAUUUUUCACCCCUUUCUUAUAUUACAUAUGUAAAACCCCAAUUUGACUG
rnacentral:lncRNA from 1 species